rnacentral:rRNA from 1 species
AUACGGAGGGUGCAAGCGUUAAUCGGAAUUACUGGGCGUAAAGCGUGCGUAGGCGGAAUUUUAAGUCUGAUGUGAAAUCCCCGGGCUUAACCUGGGAAUUGCGUUUAAGACUGUAUGACUAGAGUACUGUAGAGGAUAGUGGAAUUUCCAGUGUAGCGGUGAAAUGCGUAGAUAUUGGAAGGAACACCAGUGGCGAAGGCGACUAUCUGGAUAGAUACUGACACUGAGACACGAAAGCGUGGGGAGC